rnacentral:rRNA from 1 species
UUUAACGGCCGCGGUACUCUGACCGUGCAAAGGUAGCAUAAUCAUUUGCCUUAUAAUUGAAGGCUAGCAUGAAUGGUUUGAUGAGAACAAAGCUGUCUCCUUUUAAUUUUAUAAAACUUGAUUUUUGGGUGAAGAAGCCCAAAUAAAAUUGAUAGACGAGAAGACCCUAUCGAGCUUAAAAAAAUUUUAUUAAAAUAAAAUUUGCUUGCAAAAGACUAAUUAUAAUAAAAAAUUUUAGUUGGGGCGACUAAGGAACAAUAAAGCUUCCAUUUUUAAUAUUAUAGCAUAUUAGCUAUGAUCCAAAAUUUUUGAUUAAANGAAUUAGUUACCGUAGGGAUAACAGCAUAAUCUUUUUUGAGAGUUCUUAUCGAAAAAAAGGUUUGUGACCU